GACCGUUCCGGUGGCCUAGUGGUCAGAGCGUCCGCCUCAGAUGUGGGAGGUCAUGGGUUCGAACACCGUCUGAGUCC